UUCCGGUUGAUCCCGCCGGAGGCCACUGCUAUGGGGGUCCGACUAAGCCAUGCGAGUCAUGGGGCGCCUUGUGCGCACCGGCGGACGGCUCAGUAACACGUCGGUAACCUACCCUCGGGAGGGGGAUAACCCCGGGAAACUGGGGCUAAUCCCCCAUAGGCCUGAGGUACUGGAAGGUCCUCAGGCCGAAAGGGGCUCUGCCCGCCCGAGGAUGGGCCGGCGGCCGAUAGGUAGUUGGUGGGGUAACGGCCCACCAAGCCGAAGAUCGGUACGGGCCAUGAGAGUGGGAGCCCGGAGAUGGACACUGGGACACGGGUCCAGGCCCUACGGGGCGCAGCAGGCGCGAAACCUCCGCAAUGCGGGCAACCGCGACGGGGGGACCCCCAGUGCCGUGGCAUCGCCACGGCUUUUCCGGAGUGUAAAGAGCUCCGGGAAUAAGGGCUGGGCAAGGCCGGUGGCAGCCGCCGCGGUAAUACCGGCGGCCCGAGUGGUGGCCGCUAUUAUUGGGCCUAAAGCGUCCGUAGCCGGGCCCGUAAGUCCCUGGCGAAAUCCCACGGCUCAACCGUGGGGCUUGCUGGGGAUACUGCGGGCCUUGGGACCGGGAGAGGCGGAGGGUACUCCUGGGGUAGGGGUGAAAUCCUAUAAUCCCAGGAGGACCGCCAGUGGCGAAGGCGCUCCGCUGGAACGGGUCCGACGGUGAGGGACGAAGGCCAGGGGAGCGAACCGGAUUAGAUACCCGGGUAGUCCUGGCUGUAAAGGAUGCGGGCUAGGUGUCGGGCGAGCUUCGUGCUCGCCCGGUGCCGAAGGGAAGCCGUUAAGCCCGCCGCCUGGGGAGUACGGCCGCAAGGCUGAAACUUAAAGGAAUUGGCGGGGGAGCACUACAAGGGGUGGAGCGUGCGGUUUAAUUGGAAUCAACGCCGGG
rnacentral:rRNA from 1 species